rnacentral:rRNA from 1 species
GAUUAAGGGCGCGCGGUGGAUGCCUAGGCUCUCGGAGGCGAAGAAGGACGCGAUAAGCCGCGAUAGGCCACGGCGAGGUGCAAGUAACCCUUGACCCGUGGAUUUCCGAAUGGGGCAACCCGGCCGUCUAGAUGACGGUCAUGCAUUAUCAUGCAGGCGAACGCGGGGAACUGAAACAUCUCAUUACCCGCAGGAGAAGAAAACAAAAUGUGAUUCCCCCAGUAGUGGCGAGCGAACGGGGAAGAGCCCAAACCGCUGCCGUUUCGGCGACAGCGGGGUCAUGGGACCGCGAGAUUCGACGGAAGACGAAGUGCAAUUACCUGGAAAGGUAAGCCGUGGAGGGUGAUAGCCCCGUGCACGACACCUCUUUCUUAGAUAGCGGUAUCCCGAGUAGGGCGGGACACGAGAAAUCCUGCCUGAAUUCGCCAGGACCUCCUGGCAAGGCUAAAUACUCCCGAGAGACCGAUAGUGAACCAGUACCGCGAGGGAAAGGUGAAAAGUACCCCGAGCAGGGGGGUGAAAUAGACCCUGAACCCGCGCGCCUACAAGCGGUCGGAGCCACGCGAUGUGGUGACGGCGUGCCUUUUGCAUAAUGAGCCUACGAGUUAGUCGUCACCAGCGAGGUUAAGGGCUUCAGGCCCGUCAGCCGAAGUGAAAGCGAGCCUUAACAGGGCGUAAAGUUGGUGGCGCUAGACGCGAAACCUUGUGAUCUACCCACGAGCAGGUUGAAGUCGCGGUAACACGUGAUGGAGGACCGAACCGGUAAACGUUGAAAAGUUUUCGGAUGACUCGCGGGUAGGGGUGAAAGGCCAAUCAAACUGGGAAAUAGCUCGUACUCUCCGAAAUGCAUUUCGGUGCAGCCUGUGAUGUUCUGUUCCAGAGGUAGAGCUACUGGUUGGACGCGAGGGCUUCACCGCCUAUCAAAUCCGGAUAAACUCCGAAUGCUGGAACACGAAAUCAUGGAGUGAGCCCGCGGGUGCUAAGGUCCGCGGACGAGAGGGAAAGAACCCGGACCACCGGCUAAGGUCCCGGAUGGACAGUUAAGUUGAUCAAACGAGGUGGGAUCGCGGAGACAGCUAGGAUGUUGGCUUGGAAGCAGCCAUUCAUUUAAAGAGUGCGUAACAGCUCACUAGUCGAGCGAUCCCGCGUGGAUAAUACACGGGCAUCAAACUGUCAACCGAAGCCGUGGGGUUAGUUAAUGACUGACCGGUAGGAGAGCAUUCCUGCCAGCUUAGAAGGUCACCCGCGAGAGUGACUGGAGCGGCAUGAAAAGCAAAUGUAGGCAUAAGUAACGAUAAUGGGGGCGAGAACCCCCCACGCCGCAAGACCAAGGCUUCCCCGGCAAUGUCAAUCAGCCGGGGGUCAGCCGGCCUCUAAGGCUAACCCGAAGGGGGACGCCGACGAGAAACGGGUUAACAUUCCCGUGCUUCUCGUCACCGUGACGCGGUGACGGGGUGAUGAAUGGACCGCGCGCAGACGGAAUAGCGCGUUGAAGGUCGUACCCGAUGACGGUGGUAGUCAAGCACGCCACCCGAGGCGAAAGCCGAUAGUACCUCGAGGCCUCGGCCGAGGGGAUAGCGUCCAGGCAAUUUACCCCCUAGAAAACCCGCUAAACUUCAAGUGACGAGGAACCGUACCGUAAACGGACACACGUGGUCGGGUAGAACAUACCAAGGCGCUCGAGUGAUUCAUGGUCAAGGAACUAGGCAAAAUAGUCCUGUAACUUAGGGAUAAAGGACGCUCUAGUGAUAGAGCCGCAGAGAAAUGGCCCAGGCGACUGUUUACCAAAAACACAUGGCUAUGCCAAAUCGAAAGAUGACGUAUAUGGCCUGACACCUGCCCGGUGCCGGAAGGUUAAGAGGAGAGCUCAUCAGUAAUGAGAAGGUUUGAAUUGAAGCCCCGGUAAACGGCGGCCGUAACUAUAACGGUCCUAAGGUAGCGAAAUUCCUUGUCGGGUAAGUUCCGACCUGCACGAAUGGUGUAACGAUCUGGACACUGUCUCAACCGUGAGCUCGGUGAAAUUGUAGUCCCGGUGA